rnacentral:rRNA from 1 species
GUUCCCAUCCCGAACACGGAAGUUAAGCUCUCCAGCGCCGAUGGUAGUUGGGGCUAACGCCCCUGCAAGAGUAGGACGUUGCUAGGC